AUUGAACGCUGGCGGCAUGCCUUACACAUGCAAGUCGAACGGUAACAGGUCUUCGGAUGCUGACGAGUGGCGAACGGGUGAGUAAUGCAUCGGAACGUGCCCAGUUGUGGGGGAUAACUGCUCGAAAGAGCAGCUAAUACCGCAUACGACCUGAGGGUGAAAGCGGGGGAUCGCAAGACCUCGCGCAAUUGGAGCGGCCGAUGUCAGAUUAGGUAGUUGGUGGGGUAAAGGCCUACCAAGCCGACGAUCUGUAGUUGGUCUGAGAGGACGACCAGCCACACUGGGACUGAGACACGGCCCAGACUCCUACGGGAGGCAGCAGUGGGGAAUUUUGGACAAUGGGCGCAAGCCUGAUCCAGCAAUGCCGCGUGCAGGAAGAAGGCCUUCGGGUUGUAAACUGUUUUUGUCAGGGAAGAAAUCCUCUGGGUUAAUACCCCGGGGGGAUGACGGUACCUGAAGAAUAAGCACCGGCUAACUACGUGCCAGCAGCCGCCGCCGUAA
rnacentral:rRNA from 1 species